rnacentral:rRNA from 1 species
GACGAAGGGAGCGAGCGUUGCUCGGAAUAAUUGGGCGUAAAGGGUGCGUAGGUGGUUUUUUAAGUGAGAUGUUAAAGACCUGGACUCAAUCUAGGAAAUGCAUUUCAUACUGAAAAACUUGAGUGUGGGAGAGGAAACAGGAAUUCCUCAUGUAGAGGUGAAAUUCGUAGAUAUGAGGAGGAACACCAAAGGCGAAGGCAAGUUUCUGGAACACAACUGACACUGAGGCACGAAAGCGUGGGGAGCAAACAGG